rnacentral:lncRNA from 11 species
AGAAAAAUGAAUGCCCUACAGAAGAAGAUAAAUGUCCCCCAGAAUGCGGGUGCUCCCCUUGAAGAAGGUGAUGAAGUGAUGCAAGUGGACAAAACAGGAUUCUCAGAGAUGUUGAAUGCUCAAGAUGAAGCUCAGGAGAGGCCUCCUUCAGGACUUCAGGUGCCAGACAAUCCAGACAUAGUCCUCCAGAUCCCAGAGACCACCAGCAUGGAUAGACCCCAAAGACAAGACCCACAGGAGCCAGGAGAGGAAACCUGUGCAGAGAGUUCUGGGCAGUCUCUCGCUGGCUCUGAACCAGCUCUGAUGGAAGUAGAGGGAUCGGAACCUCCCCAUAAAAAACAGAAGAUUAAUCCUGGCAAGGAAACCUAAGUGCCUCCUUUUGCUUCAAAAACAUGUUUCUCUUUCUGUAAAUAAAAAUUUCGAGAUAUAAUGAGCAGGCUACAUGACCCUGCAAACCAGGUCAGUGUCUGCUGCUUUGAACAAGGCAGAAGCACUUUGGAAGUGCUGAUCUGAGGAUUCCUGAUGUAAAUCUAGGGUAUUGAAAAGGUGUGCAGAUAGGGCAGGCAUGGGCACACUUGGUAACUUGCUUAGAAAUGUGAGACUCUGGGAACACAGUCAUAAUUUGAGUAUUUAGGCAUAACCUUUGUUUCAUUUAUUUUAUCGUUUAUUUACUUUCCCAUGGGGUAAGAAAGUAGUCCAGUAAUCUCUCAAUAAACUCACAUUUUAUUAGUAUUGGCGUCAAUCUUUAUUCUAUGUGUAUAUGCAUUUUCAUUGCAUUACUUUUUAUUUGAGUGUUUUCUCCAUGUUGCCUUAUAUCUCUAACUAAGAGGAAAGCCAGGCCCUUUCUAUACUGUCUUAUAUCCCAGGAUCUAAUCCCAGGUUAUCUGCUUUGAACUGGAUUAUAUCAGGGCCCUUCUACACUGCCGUCUACUCCAGAAUAUCAAGGCAAAUAGUCCACAUCAUCUCCUUUGAACUGUAUUAUCUAAAUCUAUAAGGUAAGUCUAG